UACGUAGGGUCCAAGCGUUAUCCGGAAUCACUGGGCGUAAAGCGUGCGUAGGCGGAUGUUUAAGUGUGAUGUUAAAUCGUGGGGCUCAACCCUGUCGUUGCAUCGCAUACUGGGCAUCUAGAGGACGGCAGAGGCAAGUGGAACUCGUAGUGUAGCAGUGAAAUGCGUAGAUAUUACGAAGAACACCAAUGGCGAAGGCAGCUUGCUGGGCCGACCCUGACGCUGAGGUACGAAAGCGUGGGGAGCGAACAGG
rnacentral:rRNA from 1 species